GGCGUGCUUAACACAUGCAAGUCGAACGAUGAUCCCGGUGCUUGCACCGGGGGAUUAGUGGCGAACGGGUGAGUAACACGUGAGUAACCUGCCCCCGACUCUGGGAUAAGCCCGGGAAACUGGGUCUAAUACCGGAUAUUCACUUCCUUCCGCAUGGGAGGUGGUGGAAAGAUUUAUCGGUGGGGGAUGGACUCGCGGCCUAUCAGCUUGUUGGUGGGGUAAUGGCCCACCAAGGCGACGACGGGUAGCCGGCCUGAGAGGGUGACCGGCCACACUGGGACUGAGACACGGCCCAGACUCCUACGGGAGGCAGCAGUGGGGAAUAUUGCACAAUGGGCGAAAGCCUGAUGCAGCGACGCCGCGUGAGGGAUGACGGCCUUCGGGUUGUAAACCUCUUUCAGUAGGGAAGAAGCGAAAGUGACGGUACCUGCAGAAGAAGCGCCGGCUAACUACGUGCCAGCAGCCGCGGUAAUACGUAGGGCGCAAGCGUUAUCCGGAAUUAUUGGGCGUAAAGAGCUCGUAGGCGGUUUGUCGCGUCUGCCGUGAAAGUCCGGGGCUCAACCCCGGAUCUGCGGUGGGUACGGGCAGACUAGAGUGAUGUAGGGGAGACUGGAAUNCCUGGUGUANCGGCAACGCGAAGAACCUUACCAAGGCUUGACAUGGGCCGGAUCGCCGCAGAAAUGUGGUUUCCCCUUUGGGGGCCGGUUCACAGGUGGUGCAUGGUUGUCGUCAGCUCGUGUCGUGAGAUGUUGGGUUAAGUCCCGCAACGAGCGCAACCCUCGUUCCAUGUUGCCAGCACGUAGUGGUGGGGACUCAUGGGAGACUGCCGGGGUCAACUCGGAGGAAGGUGGGGACGACGUCAAAUCAUCAUGCCCCUUAUGUCUUGGGCUUCACGCAUGCUACAAUGGCCGGUACAAUGGGUUGCGAUACUGUGAGGUGGAGCUAAUCCCAAAAAGCCGGUCUCAGUUCGGAUUGGGGUCUGCAACUCGACCCCAUGAAGUCGGAGUCGCUAGUAAUCGCAGAUCAGCAACGCUGCGGUGAAUACGUUCCCGGGCCUUGUACACACCGCCCGUCAAGUCACGAAAGUUGGUAACACCCGAAGCCGGUGGCCCACCCCUUGAGGGAGGGAGCCGUCGAAGGUGGGA
rnacentral:rRNA from 1 species